UCUUCUAAAACCUUCCUGUGGGAAAUUGGGAGCCACUCCUCCAAAGGUCUCUCUCCCAAUAACUGGAUUUAUAGAAAGGAAAGGACAGAAAGAAGCAGCCCCCACGUUCACCCCAGCCCCUGCCCAUCCCAGUCUGCACAAGCCUUCUCACCACACCAGAGGCCACCUCACGCUCGGCCUCUUCUCCCUGGCACGGUGGCUCACACAGGAAAAGCCAAAGUGUAAUUAGCUAAUAGCAGAGCUCCUCCGUUAAUGGAAAGGGCAUUUCAAACUUAUGCAAACUGAUACCAUGGGAUUUGUGAGAAAUCAUCAGUAGGAUGCAACAGAGAGGACUCACAGGUCACUUGUCAAGUGGGGACAAAGCUUUUCUCUAAGCUUUGAGACCCAGAGUGGGUCUCUGAAUCGCUGGCCUGCUGGGAUGUGAGAGCACUGGGGGAGGAAGCUGGGACCCCUUUUUGGAGCAUCUUUUCCCUCAUAACAGUUCCGGUCAGUACUGCUACAUACCCAACAGGCAUGAUCUCAGCUGUUCCUCACCACAACCCAAUGAGACUCCCUUGCGGUUGGGUGUAGCCAUGUGACUGAGAGCUGGCCAAUGUCAUGUGCUAGGGAGAGGAGCAGUGAGCAAACACAAAAUCCCUGCCUGUUUAGAACUGAUCUUCUAGUGGUGGUGGUUGGGGCCAGGAGCAACUGGACAGUGAAUUACUAAGAGGCAUUGUCCUUUUAGUCCAAGGCUCUAGUUCCUGUAUCAUACAAAUGCUUCUGGCAAAGGAAAAUAUUUCAAGCUAUUUUGGUCAUUAAACCUUAAAGACGUUGACUGCAAAUUUGGCUGAG